GAUAACUGGCUUGUGGCGGCCAAGCGUUCAUAGCGACGUCGCACAGAAUUCGCCAACUGUUACAUUGUUCACCCACUAAUAGGGAACAUCAGCUGGGUUUAAACUGUCGUGAGACAAAUU
rnacentral:ncRNA from 1 species